rnacentral:piRNA from 1 species
UAGGGAAAAGCUUUGUGUCCUACUGG